CCUCAGGACUGACCUCCCGGAGGUCCCUGCUCUGGCCCUGAGGUUCCCUCAAGAGGUUGUGUGCUGAGAAAAACGUGGUGACAUUUGGGCUGUGUGACCAAAAACGCAUGGUGCAACUUGCACCUUUGCUCUCGUGGAGCCAGCAGUGUCGUCAGGACAGCCGGACGAUCGUCAGUCUCCAGCCGUUGUGAGCGUUUUGAACCAUCCAGCUCCCUUUUUUUUCAAAAUGCUGCCCUGUUAUUUAAGGACCUUUUACUUCAGGUGGGUUUUGCUGGAUGUGUCAUGAGUGCCCAUGGAAAGCAGGGAACAUGCUGCCAUGAACUUGGCAAACCGACCCUCCGAGCUGUACGGCUGGUUUAUGGCA